UGAGGAAUAUUGGUCAAUGGGCGAGAGCCUGAACCAGCCAAGUAGCGUGCAGGAUGACGGCCCUAUGGGUUGUAAACUGCUUUUAUAAGGGAAUAAAGUGAGUCUCGUGAGACUUUUUGCAUGUACCUUAUGAAUAAGGACCGGCUAAUUCCGUGCCAGCAGCCGCGGUAAUACAGAAGGUCCGGGCGUUAUCCGGAUUUAUUGGGUUUAAAGGGAGCGUAGGCCGGAGAUUAAGCGUGUUGUGAAAUGUAGACGCUCAACGUCUGCACUGCAGCGCGAACUGGUUUCCUUGAGUACGCACAAAGUGGGCGGAAUUCGUGGUGUAGCGGUGAAAUGCUUAGAUAUCACGAAGAACUCCGAUUGCGAAGGCAGCUCACUGGAGCGCAACUGACGCUGAAGCUCGAAAGUGCGGGUAUCGAACAGGAUUAGAUACCCUGGUAGUCCGCACGGUAAACGAUGGAUGCCCGCUGUUGGUCUGAAUAGGUCAGCGGCCAAGCGAAAGCAUUAAGCAUCCCACCUGGGGAGUACGCCGGCAACGGUGAAACUCAAAGGAAUUGACGGGGGCCCGCACAAGCGGAGGAACAUGUGGUUUAAUUCGAUGAUACGCGAGGAACCUUACCCGGGCUUGAAUUGCAGAGGAAGGAUUUGGAGACAAUGACGCCCUUCGGGGCCUCUGUGAAGGUGCUGCAUGGUUGUCGUCAGCUCGUGCCGUGAGGUGUCGGCUUAAGUGCCAUAACGAGCGCAACCCCUCUCCUUAGUUGCCAUCAGGUCAUGCUGGGCACUCUGGGGACACUGCCACCGUAAGGUGUGAGGAAGGUGGGGAUGACGUCAAAUCAGCACGGCCCUUACGUCCGGGGCUACACACGUGUUACAAUGGCAGGUACAGAGAGAGGGUUGUACGUAAGUGCGAUCAAAUCCUUAAAGCCUGUCUCAGUUCGGACUGGGGUCUGCAACCCGACCCCACGAAGCUGGAUUCGCUAGUAAUCGCGCAUCAGCCAUGGCGCGGUGAAUACGUUCCC
rnacentral:rRNA from 1 species